rnacentral:rRNA from 1 species
UACAUGUGGGGCAAGCGUUAAUCGGAAUUACUGGGCGUAAAGCGUGCGCAGGCGGUUAUUUAAGUCAGGUGUGAAAGCCCUGGGCUUAACCUAGGAAUUGCGCUUGAGACUGGAUAGCUUGGAGUGCGGCAGAGGGAGGUGGAAUUCCACGUGUAGCAGUGAAAUGCGUAGAGAUGUGGAGGAACACCGAUGGCGAAGGCAGCCUCCUGGGCCAGCACUGACGCUCAUGCACGAAAGCGUGGGGAGCAAACAGG